rnacentral:lncRNA from 1 species
CGAAGAUGCCUCUGACUGCCAUCCCUCAGAUAUUCUGCCUAUGGUGUAUCUCAGGUGCUAGGUUAUUUAUUUAGCUAAAUAUUGAUGUAUCACAAGUGCAAGGAUGUAAGAACAGCUGGCAAUAAAGGCAGGGCCUAAUUCACUUCCAGUGUUAAGCAGAGGCAGCGUGGAUAGGUUUUGCGGAGCUGCACCUGUUUAUGUCAGCAGCAAAUUUAGUUUUACGUGCCAUGGGAUACUCAGCUGGCUACCAGUUGCUUCAGCUUGGAGAAAUUUUUGCAAGUCAUGUAUACACGUGUCUCUUUUGUCCCCCUUGCUAACUGCCAGUCUAUGUACUGUUAUUUAUCUGUCUAAUCUGGGUGAGAAGAAUUAACCUCUCUAGGCAUUUCUCUCUAAAUGCUCUACAUGUAGCUGAACCUCAACUAUGAGAUCUACGUAAAAAUCUGAAGUUACAAGGUGAUGACAUGUGCAUUGUUUGUUGAUUGUAUUUUUUAUUUAUUUUUUCCCUCUAAGCCCUGCGUGCUGGUACCAAAGAGCAGUGCUGAAACAAGCCCUCCAAUUUCCAAUGCGUGGAAGUUCUUGCUGCCCCGACUUUUCAGCUUCUGACCUAGCCCUGGAAAUCAGAUUCUUUGCUGCUGCUGCUUUCGAAGGAAAUGUUGGACAGCCUACAUCCUGCAACAUUACUAAUCAGCAGCAGGAUGAAAAGAAUAUUGAAAAAGUUGUAUCAACGAAAAUCACCAAAUCUGGACUACCAAGAAGAGAAACUCCCCCAAAGUAAUCCUUCAUAGACUGUCUUGGACACUUGGAAGAAAACAAACAAACAAACAAAAAAACCAGAACAACAACAAUCCCUAAUCACAACCUCACGAUCAGAACUGCCUAAUCAAUUUCCUUUGAAGAGUUUGCAAGCAACAGGCACUACUUUUAGUGCUUGAACUGCAAGUGAAAUGAGUUAUAAACAAGACUUGAACAAAAGUGGAGUUGAUAAAUUUAUUUUCAUUACCCAUUAAAAAAGACACACAAAAACAAACAAGCAAGGUAAUUUUUAAAAUCUUAACCUAACUCCCUUUUACUUUAUCUCUUUAUAUCUUUUUAAAAAUGCUUAAAUUAAUAGUUACCUAAGAAGCUCUGUAAGUGUAAUAUUACACUGUAACUGUAAUCUUGACCACUUGCUUAGUAUUAAGAAAUCAUUGCUUAAAUGGUUCUAUUAUUCAAAAUAAAUGGAUAUUUUCAGUAGUUUAGAUAUACUGU